rnacentral:sRNA from 1 species
UUUCUUUGCAAAAAAAUUAAAGAAAGUAAGACAUCAUGGUCCAUUUCUAUUCUUCCCUUUUAAGUUACCACAGCACUUUGCCCUUGGUGACUGGAGGCCUUGCUUUAGUCAGUACCUGUGUGCUGUUUACCACCAGAGGCUUGGCCUUCUCCACACUUUUUAAAGAGACCCGUUGACAGAAUUGUUACAACCAUUCAGCCAGGGUUGUGGACCCUUGGCACAUUAGUCCUUGGCACUGCUGACAUUUGGGCCCAGGCUAAAGCGAGCAGUCCUCAGGGUUUUGAUGUGGAUCGAGAUGCC